AACGAACGCUGGCGGCAUGCCUAACACAUGCGAGUCGAACGAGACCUUCGGGUCUAGUGUCGCACGGGUGCGUAACGCGUGGGAACCUGCCCUUAGGUUCGGGAUAACUCCCCGAAAGGGGUGCUAAUACCGGAUAAUGUCUUCGGCCCAAAGAUUUAUCGCCUUUGGAUGGGCCCGCGUUGGAUUAGCUAGUUGGUAGGGUAAUAGCCUACCAAGGCGACGAUCCAUAGCUGGUCUGAGAGGCUGAUCAGCCACACUGGGACUGAGACACGGCCCAGACUCCUACGGGAGGCAGCAGUGGGGAAUAUUGGACAAUGGGCGAAAGCAUGAUGCAGCAAUGCCGCGUGAACGAUGAAGGCCUUAGGGUUGUAAAGCUCUUUUACCCGGGAUGAUAAUGACAGUACCGGGAGAAAAAGCUCCGGCUAACUCCGUG
rnacentral:rRNA from 1 species